rnacentral:lncRNA from 1 species
GGGUCUGUACGAUUAGACUGGGUAUAGGGUUGUUACACUAACAAUGAUAAUACUAACUAAAAUAAUAAUUAGAGUUUUUAUUAAUCUUAAUAACUAACAAUAAUAACUAAACUAAGAACAAAAAAUAAUAAAAAAUAUACCAAAAAAAAAACAUAAUAACAAGAUAAAAAUACCUUAUUUUUUCUAUUUUUUUCUUCUCUUUCUUUCUCCCUUCCCUAUUCUCUUUCUC